rnacentral:rRNA from 1 species
UGGGGAAUAUUGGACAAUGGGGGCAACCCUGAUCCAGCAAUGCCGCGUGUGUGAAGAAGGCCUGAGGGUUGUAAAGCACUAUCAGUGGGGAGGAGGGUGUAUUAGGUUAAGAGCCAGAUACAUUGACGUUACCCACAGAAGAAGCACCGGCUAACUCCGUGCCAGCAGCCGCGGUAAUACGGAGGGUGCGAGCGUUAAUCGGAAUUACUGGGCGUAAAGGGUGCGUAGGUGGGGCAAUAAGUUAGCUGUGAAAUUCCUGGGCUUAACCUAGGGUGGUCAGCUAAGACUGUUGUUCUGGAGUAUAGGAGAGGGUAGUGGAAUUUCCGGUGUAGCGGUGAAAUGCGUAGAGAUCGGAAGGAACACCAGUGGCGAAGGCGGCUACCUGGCCUAAUACUGACACUGAGGCACGAAAGCGUGGGGAGCAAACAGGAUUAGAUACCCCUGUAGUCC